rnacentral:rRNA from 1 species
UCGAACGUGAAGGCUGAGAUGAUUACUUCGGUUUGAUUCUUGGUUGGAAAGUGGCGAACGGGUGAGUAACACGUGGGUGACCUGCCUCGAAGUGGGGGAUAACCAUUGGAAACGAUGGCUAAUACCGCAUUGUCCUAUUUGUGUGGGAACACGAAUGGGUAAAGCUCUGGCGCUUCGAGAGGGGCCUGCGUCCGAUUAGCUAGUUGGUGGGGUAAUGGCCCACCAAGGCGACGAUCGGUAGCUGGUCUGAGAGGACGAUCAGUCACAUGGGAACUGAGACACGGUCCCGACUCCUACGGGGGGCAGCAGUGAGGAAUAUUGCACAAUGGGGGAAACCCUGAUGCAGCAACGCCGCGUGGAGGAUGAAGGCUUCGGUUGUAAACUCCUUUUCUGGGGGAAGAGUAAGGACGGUACCUCAGGAAUAAGUCACGGCUAACUACGUGCCAGCAGCCGCGGUAAUACGUAGGUGGCGAGCGUUAUCCGGAAUUACUGGGCGUAAAGGGCACGCAGGCGGCCGAUCAAGUCCGGCGUGAAAACUCCCGGCUUAACUGGGAGAGGUCGUUGGAAACUGAUUGGCUUGAGGCGAUGAGAGGGGUGCGGAAUUCCCGGUGUAGUGGUGGAAUGCGUAGAUAUCGGGAGGAACAUCAGUGGCGAAAGCGGCACCCUGGCAUUUGCCUGACGCUCAUGUGCGAAAGCGUGGGGAGCGAACGGGAUUAGAUACCCCGGUAGUCCACGCUGUAAACGAUGAAUACUAGUGUGGGUGGCAUCAAAACCCAUUCGUGCCGAAGCAAACGCGAUAGUAUUCGCUUGGGAGUACGCCGCAAGCUAAAACUCAAGGAAUGACGGGGCCGCACAGCAGCGGA